CCUGAGCACCUUGAGGGCCUUGCGCUCUGUGUCCAAAGGCACCCGCUCGAUCUGCAGCUCCAGAAGUUAUGCAGUCGAGAUUCCCACAUUUGGGGAAUUCGUAGGGGUCAGCACAACCGGAGCACAAUGGUCAAGCCUCGCCCUGGGUGAACCACCUUCUUGAUCAUGGUACCUCCCCUGCCAGAUGCACUCUAGGUUUGGGUUGCUGGCAAAGGAGCUGUCCUGCAGGCAUCGAUCGACCUCAUCAUGCCAGUGCC